CAAUGUACUGUAAUUAUCACAUUCUUGUGAGAACUCAACAAACUGCACUCUGCUUUUUUCAUGAGGCCUGAUGGAUUACAGGAACUGAGAAAAAUGGAUUUUUCCCCCCGGCAAUUCUGCAUUUCUGGGCGCAUGCCGGGUCUGACUCGGCGCCUCCGCCCUUCCCCAUGUGAGAAAAAAAAAAAAACAAAAACCAAAAAACGUGUUUCCAGGAGCUUUCAUUGAAGGCUCCCCAAAACCCUAGCUGCGUUGUGUCUUUUCCACGGAUGAAAACCAGAGGCUCAGAGAGGCAUCAGGACCUCGAUCGGCUGGUGUUUUAUGCAUGGGAGCUUUUCCGAAAGUGUUUGAGGCUGCUUAGAAGACCCAGAAUGUAAGGGAAGAUCACCGAAGGAGAGAGAGCAGCUGUGAGCGUCCAGGCCCUGCAUCUGAGCUGGGCAGAGCCGGCCGGGGGUGAACCAGAGCUUCUGAUUCCAAAUACAGUGUCACCCCACCUUUCCACCCCUGGCACCUCUGAUUCCUGAGAGUUCUCUCAAAUGUUCCCCUCUUCAUUCUACAUACACACUCAUGUAUGUAUGCAUAGAUACCAUUCGGAUGGUUCAGAAGACCGCAGCUCUGGGCAACUGGUGAUUGGCAGCUUCAUCACAACAACACACCUGCUCAUGCAUCACGUCCAAUGCAGAGUUUUUGGUGAAACAUCAAAUCACACUGGUGACUCAGCCCCACUA